rnacentral:misc_RNA from 1 species
AACGCACCUUGCGCUCCUUGGUAUUCCGAGGAGCAUGCCUGUUUGAGUGUCAUUAAAUUCUCAACCUCACCAGUUUUCUGAACUGACUGAGGCUUGGAUGUGGGGGUUUGUGCAGGCUGCCUCACCGGCGGUCUGCUCCCCUGAAAUGCAUUAGCGAGGUUCAUGCUGGACCUCCGUCUAUUGGUGUGAUAAUUAUCUACGCCGUGGACGAGGAUACAGACUCGCUUCUAACCGUCCGCGAGGACAAUACCUUGACAAUUUGACCUCAAAUCAGGUAGGACUACCCGCUGAACUUAA